UACGUAGGGUGCAAGCGUUGUCCGGAAUUAUUGGGCGUAAAGAGCUCGUAGGCGGUCUGUCGCGUCGGCUGUGAAAAACCCGGAGCUCAACUCCGGGCCUGCAGUCGAUACGGGCAGACUGGAGUUCGGCAGGGGGAGACUGGAAUUCCUGGUGUAGCGGUGAAAUGCGCAGAUAUCAGGAGGAACACCGGUGGCGAAGGCGGGGUCUCUGGGGCCGAUACUGACGUGAGGAGCGAAAAGCGUGGGGGAGCGAA
rnacentral:rRNA from 1 species